rnacentral:rRNA from 1 species
UACGGGGGGGCAAGCGUUGUUCGGAAUCAUUGGGCGUAAAGGGCGCGUAGGCGGUGCGGUAAGUCUGGUGUGAAAUCCCCGAGCUUAACUCGGGUCCCGCGCCAGAGACUGCCGUGCUCGAGUGUGGGAGAGGAGUGUGGAAUUCCUGGUGUAGCGGUGAAAUGCGCAGAUAUCAGGAGGAACACCAAUGGCGAAGGCAGCACUCUGGGACGUGACUGACGCUGAGACGCGAAAGCGUGGGGAGCAAACAGG